rnacentral:rRNA from 1 species
UACGAAGGGGGCUAGCGUUGUUCGGAAUUACUGGGCGUAAAGCGCGCGCAGGCGGUUCUCCAAGUCAGUGGUGAAAGCCCGGAGCUCAACUCCGGAAUUGCCAUUGAAACUGUUGAACUUGAGGACGAGAGAGGUGAGUGGAAUUCCCAGUGUAGAGGUGAAAUUCGUAGAUAUUGGGAAGAACACCGGUGGCGAAGGCGGCUCACUGGCCCGAUACUGACGCUGAGGCACGAAAGCGUGGGGAGCAAACAGG